ensembl:misc_RNA
CUGACAGGCAGGGAGACCGAAGCCCUCUCUUUAGUCACAGAAUUCGUCCAGGAUGGGAAGCAGCAGUGCAAGAUGCCCCAUGCUGCCACCCUCCCGUGCCUCAUUCCUGAUCUGGAGGGACCACUGCUAGGAGGUUGGAAUUCAGCCUCAUUCGGUCUACAGCCUCUCUGCUGAGGCUGCU